UAGAGUUUGAUCCUGGCUCAGAACGAACGCUGGCGGCAGGCCUAACACAUGCAAGUCGAGCGCACCUUCGGGUGAGCGGCGGACGGGUUAGUAACGCGUGGGAACGUGCCCAGAUCUACGGAAUAGCCUCGGGAAACUGAGAGUAAUACCGUAUACGCCCUUCGGGGGAAAGAUUUAUCGGAUUUGGAUCGGCCCGCGUUAGAUUAGGUAGUUGGUGGGGUAAUGGCCUACCAAGCCUACGAUCUAUAGCUGGUUUGAGAGGAUGAUCAGCAACACUGGGACUGAGACACGGCCCAGACUCCUACGGGAGGCAGCAGUGGGGAAUCUUAGACAAUGGGGGAAACCCUGAUCUAGCCAUGCCGCGUGAGUGACGAAGGCCCUAGGGUCGUAAAGCUCUUUCAACUGUGAAGAUAAUGACGGUAGCAGUAGAAGAAACCCCGGCUAACUCCGUGCCAGCAGCCGCGGUAAUACGGAGGGGGUUAGCGUUGUUCGGAAUUACUGGGCGUAAAGCGCGCGUAGGCGGACUAUUAAGUCAGGGGUGAAAUCCCGGGGCUCAACCCCGGAACUGCCUCUGAUACUGGUAGUCUUGAGUUCGAGAGAGGUGAGUGGAAUUCCGAGUGUAGAGGUGAAAUUCGUAGAUAUUCGGAGAACACCAGUGGCGAAGCGGCUCACUGGCUCGAUACUGACGCUGAGUGCGAAAGUGUGGGGAGCAACAGAUUAGAUACCCUGGUAGUCACACGUAACGAUGAUGCAGACGUCGGCAGUAUACUGUUCGGUGUCACACCUUACGGAUAGCAUCGCUGGGGGUACGGUCCCAGAAUAAACUCAGGAUUGACGGGCCGCAAGGUGUGAGCUGAGGUCUAAUC
rnacentral:rRNA from 1 species